rnacentral:rRNA from 1 species
GAAUUCACUAGUGAUUCAGGCCUAACAGAUGCAAGGCGAACGAGAUUAUAGGGUAAGCUUGCUUACCUUAUAUGACAGUGGCGCACGGGUGAGUAACGCGUAUGCAAUCUACCUUAAUCAGGGGGAUAGCCUCUCGAAAGAGAGAUUAAUACCGCAUAACAUUAUGAUAUGCAUCAUAUUAUAAUCAAACAUUUAUGGGAUUAAGAUGAGCAUGCGUGACAUUAGCUAGUUGGUGAGGUAACGGCUCACCAAGGCAACGAUGUCUAGGGGAUAUGAGAGGAUGACCCCCCACUGUGGGAAUGAGACACGGACCAGACUCCUACGGGAGGCAGCAGUAAGGAAUAUUGGUCAAUGGACGCAAGUCUGAACCAGCCAUGCCGCGUGCAGGAAGACGGCCCUACGGGUAAAAGGUGCUUUAUACGGGAAUAAACCUUCUUUCGGAAAGAAG